rnacentral:rRNA from 1 species
UACGUAGGGGGCAAGCGUUGUCCGGAAUCAUUGGGCGUAAAGCGCGUGUAGGCGGCCCGGUAAGUCCGCUGUGAAAGUCCAGGGCUCAACCCUGGGAUGCCGGUGGAUACUGUCGGGCUCGAGUCCGGAAGAGGCGAGUGGAAUUCCUGGUGUAGCGGUGAAGUGCGCAGAUAUCAGGAGGAACACCGAUGGCGAAGGCAGCUCGCUGGGACGUGACUGACGCUGAGACGCGAAAGCGUGGGGAGCAAACAGG